rnacentral:rRNA from 1 species
AGAGUUUGAUCCUGGCUCAGGACGAACGCUGGCGGCGUGCCUAACACAUGCAAGUCGAACGGGACCAGGGGCAACUCUGGUUCAGUGGCGGACGGGUGCGUAACACGUGAGGAACAUGACCUUCGGCGGGGGAUAGCCGGCCCAACGGCCGGGUAAUACCGCGUACGACCUUUCGGGGACAUCCCUGGAUGGUGAAAGCAGCAAUGCGCCGAUGGAGUGCCUCGCGGCCUAUCAGCUAGUUGGUGGGGUAACGGCCCACCAAGGCGACGACGGGUAGCUGGUCUGAAAGGAUGGCCAGCCACAUUGGGACUGAGACACGGCCCAGACUCCUACGGGAGGCAGCAGUGGGGAAUAUUGCGCAAUGGACGAAAGUCUGACGCAGCGACGCCGCGUGUGGGAUGACGGUCUUCGGAUUGUAAACCACUGUCGGGAGGGACGAAUACGCCGCAAGGCGGGUGACGGUAUCUCCAAAGGAAGCACCGGCUAACUCCGUGCCAGCAGCCGCGGUAAUACGGAGGGUGCGAGCGUUGUCCGGAAUCACUGGGCGUAAAGGGCGCGUAGGCGGCCUGAUAAGUAGGGGGUGAAAUCCUGCGGCUUAACUCGCAGGGCUGUCUUCUAAACUGUCAGGCUCGAGCACAGUAGAGGCAGGUGGAAUUCUCGGUGUAGCGGUGGAAUGCGUAGAGAUCGGGAAGAACAUCAGUGGCGAACGCGGUCUGCUGGGCUGUUGCUGACGCUGAGGCGCGACAGCGUGGGGAGCAAACAGGAUUAGAUACUCUGGUAGUUCACGCUGUAACGAUGGACACUAGGCGUCGGGGGGAGCGACUCUCCUGGUGUGUCGCUAACGCAGUAAGUGUCUCGCCUGGGGAGUACGGCGCAGGCUGAAACUCAAGGAUG